rnacentral:rRNA from 1 species
CUUGCUUCCGCCGACGACCGGCGCACGGGUGCGUAACGCGUAUACAAUCUACCUUAUACUGGGGUAUAGCCUUUAGAAAUGAAGAUUAACCCCCCAUAGUCUCUUAGAGUGGCAUCACUUCUAGAGUAAAGGUUACGGUAUAAGAUGAGUAUGCGUUCUAUUAGUUUGUUGGUGUGGUAACGGCACACCAAGACUACGAUAGAUAGGGGCCCUGAGAGGGGGAUCCCCCACACUGGUACUGAGACACGGACCAGACUCCUACGGGAGGCAGCAGUGAGGAAUAUUGGACAAUGGAGGCAACUCUGAUCCAGCCAUGCCGCGUGCAGGAAGACUGCCCUAUGGGUUGUAAACUGCUUUUAUACAGGAAGAAACACCUCUACGUGUAGAGGCUUGACGGUACUGUAAGAAUAAGGAUCGGCUAACUCCGUGCCAGCAGCCGCGGUAAUACGGAGGAUCCAAGCGUUAUCCGGAAUCAUUGGGUUUAAAGGGUCCGUAGGUGGAUAAUUAAGUCAGAGGUGAAAU